UAGGGAAUCUUCGGCAAUGGGGGGAACCCUGACCGAGCAACGCCGCGUGAGUGAAGAAGGUUUUCGGAUCGUAAAGCUCUGUUGUUAAGGAAGAACGUGUGUGAGAGUGGAAAGUUCACACAAUGACGGUACUUAACCAGAAAGGGACGGCUAACUACGUGCCAGCAGCCGCGGUAAUACGUAGGUCCCGAGCGUUGUCCGGAUUUAUUGGGCGUAAAGCGAGCGCAGGCGGUUAGAUAAGUCUGAAGUGAAAGGCAGUGGCUCAACCAUUGUAGGCUUUGGAAACUGUUUAACUUGAGUGCAGAAGGGGAGAGUGGAAUUCCAUGUGUAGCGGUGAAAUGCGUAGAUAUAUGGAGGAACACCGGUGGCGAAAGCGGCUCUCUGGUCUGUAACUGACGCUGAGGCUCGAAAGCGUGGGGAGCGAACAGG
rnacentral:rRNA from 1 species